AAGGUCGCACUUGUCACCGGUCAAGGUGAGGCAGACAAGACCUCGACCGUAUUUGGCCAUAAAGUUGAUCGCCUCGGGAGUGACCUUUUCCGCCGCCAUGGUCA
rnacentral:antisense_RNA from 1 species